AUACAAAACACUUUACAAAAGUAGGUUGAUAGGUUUUCAUUGCUGCUACCAUCAUCGUAUACCGGUCUUUUAGCAACAGCAUACAUUAUCAGUGAACCGUGGGUUUUCUCUCAAUUCUGCUGAGACAGAUAUUUUGCUAGGCACUAUCUAUUCAAUAUAAUAUGGAAUCACUCAGGUAGUAGUAAAUGACUGAUGGUGAACUGGCA